rnacentral:lncRNA from 1 species
GAAUGACUGAGAACCCGAUGUUGUGUGUUGUCUUGUUUGGCAUAAACUACUAGUUUGCAUGUUUGUGUGUGAUUUGAUGAUGGUGACUGAGGAAAAAAAGGAAUAAAAGGUUACGUGAAUUGAUAAAUGGAUAAUGUGGACAGCCUGACUAGAUAUCCUGGGAGAUGGUGGACGGACCAGGUCCGUAGGGAACCCUACCCGGAACGUGGUCUCUCAUACCGGACGGGGUAUGGAGACCU